CUUACCAAGCCAUAAAACAACAUGGAGAAACUUUAAACGCAUGUGACUAACUGAAAGAAGCCCAUCUGAACAGGCUCCAUAUGGUAUGAUUUCAACUCUACGACAUACUGGAAACGGCAAAACUGUGGAGAGAGUAAAGAGCGGAGGCGGCCCCCACGGCUGCGACUGCGGCACCGGAAGGCUGCAGCGAGAGAUUUACAUAUUCAUCCGAGCUUAAGGAAGCCGCGAUAAUGCAGGUACAGCCCGAAACCCACGCCCCCAGACCUUAUCUGCGCGCCCCGCCGGCCCGCGGCUGCUUCUGCAUGCGCCGCGCAGUGACUUGCAAAUGAAACCCGCAGACCGCUGUCUGGAUAACCUUGAACGCCACCGAGACAGGAGGCGAGGCGGCCUUCCAACUUCUCCUUUCCCAGAAAUCAAAAAGUAUUGAGAAAGGCUAGGAUCUCCCUCUCCAAACGGGAGAAACAGCUCUGGCCUCCUUGGAGGUCCUGAGCAAGACAGGCUGGUCCCUGAACCCAGCUUACUUUUCCACCAGCCUUAAGAACCAGGACACCAGAGUGGCAGGUCCUGAAAUGACGCGGGGGACUGGAGGUGGUGGUCUUCUGGGGACAGAAAAGGGCUGUGGAGUCAUAUAGCCCUGGCUUCCAAAACAGAGUCCGCACAUACAUGCCAUGGACCUUCGCAUAGAUUGAUUUAAUUUCUUGGUUACAUUAAUGGAGAAAUGUGCCCAGAUAUUAAAGAUAUCAACUCAAAGAGUCAUUGGCAGGCUUAGAAAUUAUCUAUGAAAAGCACCUAUCACAGAAAUGGGUAUAUAGUAAGGGCUGGGAUGACAUUAUCAACAAUUAUUAUUAUUUUACUCAGUUAUCUUCUGGGGUGACCAUUCCCCUCUCCUCAACUGCACCCCCUUUGAUCUUUCUACCCUUGCAUCUGUAGUGGGUUUGAGGGACAGGACCUCCUGCUCCCACCCUGCCUACUGCCACAGUCUUAGUCUAACAGAAUCUGCUGCCCCCUGCCUGAAGAUCUGCCACUUCCUUUACAAGAAGACAGGACAUCCUGGAAAGAAAUGCAAGCCAGGUUGAAAGGUUAAUAGCUCCCAUUCCCCAAGGUGCUGACCACUCCCUGCUUCCCCUAGGGAGAUACCUCCAUCCUCAGCCGGAGACAGCACGCCUCCAGCCUCCUCUCGAAUCAGGGCUUGCAGGGGCACAAAGCUGCUGCCAUUCUCUGGUACUGGGGAGCGUCCACGUCAAGCCAGCAGAGGACACGUUGCACCUGCACAGGUGCAUGAGAGAUGCUCCUUCCAUCCCAGAGCCAUCCUACACUGGCCUGCACACCCUCGUCAGCAUCCACUGCGUUGUAUGCAUGUACACAUGCUGUACACACGGGAUGCUGGCUCACUGUGUGGCUGACCUCCACAUUGCAGCCCAGAAAACCUCGCAGCCCAGAAAACCCCACCUCCCUUCAUUGGCCCAUCAGCAAUGUUGGAACUGGACUUCCAUGACGAACUCUAUGCAUAGAACGGUGCACAGUCGAAGGGUUCUCCCCCGGAAUGGUGAUGCCAACCAGUGAACAUCGUCCACCACCUCCUGGUAAUGCUGAGUAUCGGCCAAUGUCAAACAUUCACUGGGACAGCCGCAGAUCCUGGCUCAAGUGAGGAAGAGAAAUACCUCCCUAUCCUUCUCCCUGGUGCUAGGGUGAGAGAAACUCAUUUCAUCACUGCUAAGCCUGGGACAGGAAUCACUCAGGGAUACAAUAAAAUCCCCACCCUGCAGGUAUAUCUGAACCAAAUGAAGUAUAUACACCCAUACAUAUCAAAUCACAUGUAAGCAUGUGCACAUGUAUAGGCUGGACUAUGUGUAAAUGUGCACAUUGCCCACGUGUGUUAAGCCAUAUGCAAGGAUUUACAUGUGUGUGUUCUACCACAGGUAAGUGUGCUUGUGUGUGUUAAGUUGCAUGUGAGUGCACAUGUGUGUUGAUCCACAUGUGAGUGUAUGCACACGUGUAUAUUAAACCACAUGUUGGUGUGUGCAUUGCACAUGUACAUGUGUAUUGAGCUACAUGUAAGUGUGUGCAUACAUGUAUGUUGACUCACACAGAAGCAUUGCAGGCGCAUAUGUGUAUAUCGAACCACACGUAAAUGUAUGCACACAUCAUGUUGGUCUGUGACAGUCUGUGCAAAAAAUGACAUCCAGAGAUAAUGGCAGGAAAUAAACACAGUGACUGUUUAACAAAGAAAAAAAAGAAAGAAAGAAAUCCUGUUAAAAACACCCUAUAUUAAAAUUUGUAAUUAAAACAUUCAUCCCACAAAUGUUUAUGAAGGACCUAAUUUUUUUUUCUUUUUAGAGACAGGGUAUCACUAUGUUGCACAAACUGUUUUCAAACUCCUGGACUCAGGUGAUCCUCUGGCUUUGGCCUUCUAAAGUGCUGGGAUUACAGGCAUGAGCCACCAUGCCCAGCUGGACCUAAUAUAUUUCAGGGAAAUGUCCAGUCAGGAGGCCAAAGGGCUGAGUUAUGGGGAGUGGACCAGCCAGAGUUUUCACAUAGUUCAUUGAACCUAAGACACAGUUUUAGCCUAUGAAAUAAAGUACGCUGUAAUAAAUUCAGGAAAUCCCAAGUCAAGUUCUUUCCUUCUGGCCUGCGACUUAGUAAUCAACAUGGUUAUUCCCUGCUACUUAAGGAAAACCCAUGGUUCUGAAGGACAGUGGUAGUAUAUAGGUAAAAUCUUCCAGAAAACAAGUGUGUUGGUUUUUUUGUUUUUGUUUUUUGAGACAGGGUCUCGCUCUGUCACCCAGGCUGGAGUGCAAUGGUGCAGUCAUAGCUCACUGAAGCCUCGAACUCCUGGGCUCCAACUAUCCUCCCACCUCAGCCUCCCAAGUAGCUAGAACUACAGGUGUGCACCACCAGGCAUGGCUGGUUUUUUAAAUAUUUUUUGUACAGACAGUCUUGCUGUGUUACCCAGGCUGGUCUCAAACUCUUGAUCUAAUGCAAUCCUCCUGCCUCAGCCUCCCAAACUGCUAGGAUUAUAGGCAUGAGCCACUGUGCCUGGCUGUGGUUUUUUUUAAGUGCAUAGAUUUUUUUUCUAAGUGGAAUGUUGUAAUAAGUUGGCCUUUGCCAGGAAAUCUAUCUUGAUGUCAUAUUUUCCACGCAGGCCCAGGGUACCUUGUCAGUAGAUCUCUAAUUUCCUGGAAGUCAAUUACCCAAUCAACUGAGCAGCAAAGACAGUGAUCUUGGGCAAGUUACUCACUGUGCUUCCAUUUCCUCACCUGUGAAACAGGGACAACACCAGGACAUGUCUUUUAGCAUUGUUGUAAGGAUGAAACCAGUCCAAAACUGACCCUGAUACAUGAUGAGCGCUCACUAAUGUUAGCUAUCAUUAAUCACCAUUGUCAUCACCAUAACUCAUCAUUGCCAGCAGACAUUUUAUUUUAUUAAGAAUGCUUUUUUAAAUUCAGUGCCAGUACUAAAACAUUAAAACAGUAGACAUAUAAAUUUAGAAUCCUAGUUUUUGUUUAAAAAUCCAAACCUCAGUGGGGCACAGUGGCUCAUGCCUGUAAUCCCAGCACUUUGGGAGGCCAAGGAGAGAGGAUCACUUGUGUCCAAGAGUUCAAGACCA
rnacentral:lncRNA from 10 species